UUAAUUUUUAUUUAUUUUUAUUAUUUUAUUGUUUCUUCACAUUCUUAUUGCACAGAAAAAACAAUUGAAUUACAAAGCCCUGGAAGCUCACAAUAAUAAUAAUAAUAAUAAUAAUAAUAAUAAUAAUAAUAAUAAUAAUAAUAAUAAUAAUAAUAAUGAAAAUAUGAAAAAUUAUAAUAAAUACAUGAUUCGUACACGUCUCUCUCUCUCUCUCUCUCUCUCUCUCUCUCUCUCUCUCUCUCUCUCUCUCUCUCUCUCACACGUACACACACACGCACACACACAUACAUACACAUACACACAGUAGUAAUAAUAAACAUAUAAUGAUAAUAUUUAAUUAGAAUACCAUAACAAACGUCAGUAACAUGUAUAUGGGGGGGGGAGGGGAGAGAGAGAGAGAGGCGCAGUUCCCACGUCACUAGGGAAGGCAGGAAAGGAAGGGAGAGACAAAGAAGAACACACAAACAAACACACAAGCAAAUAACAGUGACUCUGGAACUGGCCCGGGAGGAGGAGGAGGAGGAGGAGGAGGGAGAAGAAGAGGAGGAGAAGGAAGAGGAAAUUCAAGGGAAGGAAGAACCAUUAAGGGGGUCAUCCAGAAAGGGUUACAGCUGACGAAUUUGCGAAUGAGAGAGAGAGAAAAAGGAAGGAAAAUAGGAAUAGGAAGAGAAUGAAGGAAGGAAGGAAGAAAUGCAUAGAAGAAAAUGAAGAAAGGAAGAUUAGAAAGCAAUACAAGGAAGGAAAUUGAUAUAGGAACAAAGAGAUGAGAGAAGAAAGGAAAAGAAGAAAACACAGAAGGGGAAGGGAAAGAAAGAAAAAUAGGAAUAGGGAGAAAAGGAAGAAAGAAAAAAGAAAAACGAAUAGAAGAAAAUGAAGAAAGGAAGAUUAGAAAACAACACAAGGAUGGAAAUUGAUAAAGAAACAGCGAUAAGAAAGAAGAAAGGAAAAGAAAGAAACUGAAGGAAACACAGGAAAGGGAAGGGAAAGGAAUCAUUGAGGGGAGCAUUCCGGUAAGAAAAAUAGGAAUAGAGAGGAAAGGAAGAAAGAAAAAAGAAAAACGAAUAGAAGAAAAUGAAGAAAGGAAGAUUAGAAAGCAAUACAAGAAAGGACAUUGAUAAAGGAAGAAGGAUAAGAAAGAAGAAAGGAAUUAAAGAAGAAAACAUCAGGGGAAGGGAAAGGAAUCAUUAAGGGGAGCAUUCCGGUAAGAAAAAUAGGAAUAGAGAGGAAAGGAAGAAAGAAAAACGAAAAACGAAUAGGAGAAAAUGAAGAAAGGAAGAUUAGAAAGCAAUACAAGAAAGGACAUUGAUAAAGGAAGAAGGAUAAGAAAGAAGAAAGGAAUUAAAGAAGAAAACAUCAGGGGAAGGAAAAGGAGCAUUCGGGGAGGGUGGAGACUGACGAAAUUUGCGAGCGGAGCCAGAAAGCGUUGACAUAAUAUAAUCUAACUUAAGACUAUAAUUAUUACGUACAAAUUACAUCACAUUGAGAGAAGAGUUGCCCAGUUAUCAUCGUCAUCAGCAGCAUACGUACUUGGUGGCGCACACGAACACACACACACACACACACACACACACACACACACACACGCAAACACAUACAUACACACGCAAACACAUACAUAUCUUAUGUACAUACUGUACAUAAGAUUUUGAUACAUUUCAUGGGUAUAUAUGUAUGGAUAGGUCAGCUUACACACACACACACACACACACACACACACACACACACAUACAUAAGAUUUUGAUACAUUUCAUGGGUAUAUAUGUAUGGAUAGGUUAGCUUACACACACACACACACACACACACACACACACACACACACACACACACACACACACAUACACACACACACAUACAUACAUAAGAUUUUGAUACAUUUCAUGGGUAUAUAUGUAUGGAUAGGUCAGCUUACACACACACACACACACACACACACACACACACACACACACACACACACAUACAUAAGAUUUUGAUACAUUUCAUGGGUAUAUAUGUAUGGAUAGGUUAGCUCACACACACACACACACACACACACACACACACACACACACACACACACA